GAUGAAGAACGCAGCGAAAUGCGAUACGUAGUGUGAAUUGCAGAAUUCAGUGAAUCAUCGAAUCUUUGAACGCACAUUGCGCCCUUUGGUAUUCCAAAGGGCAUGCCUGUUCGAGCGUCAUUUGUACCCUCAAGCUUUGCUUGGUGUUGGGCGUCUUGUCUCUAGCUUUGCUGGAGACUCGCCUUAAAGUAAUUGGCAGCCGGCCUACUGGUUUCGGAGCGCAGCACAAGUCGCACUCUCUAUCAGCAAAGGUCUAGCAUCCAUUAAGCCUUUUUUUCAACUUUUGACCUCGGAUCAGGUAGGGAUACCCGCUGAAAUUAAGCAUAUCAAUAAGCGGAGGA
rnacentral:misc_RNA from 1 species